CGGUCUGCCGCUGGUGUUCAGCAGAGCACGAGAGGAAAGUCCGGGCAGCAUAGGAUACUCCACUGGUGAAAGUGCCAGCAGUUGGUGACAGCUGGAGCCGGGAGAAGAAAAUUACCGCCUGAAAGGGUAAGGGUGAGAAGGUGGGGUAAGAGCCCACCAGCCUGCGGGUGAUCGCAGGGCUGUUCCGUCUGGAGGCUGCAAGUUCGCGUAAACCGUCGGUUGAGGGUUGUCCGCCCAAAGCCUUGUGCUACGACGGAGGGUAGAAUGCUUGAGCCGUGGGGUAACCUGCGGAGUAGAUAAAUGGCAGGCAUCUCUUUCAGGAGAAACAGAACCCGGCUUACAGG
rnacentral:RNase_P_RNA from 1 species